rnacentral:tRNA from 1 species
GGUUUUAUCGUACAGCGGUUUAGUACGUCAGGUUUUGAAAGGCCUACCGCAAUCAGAAUCCUGACAACCUGGGUUCGAAUCCCAGUAAGACCU